rnacentral:rRNA from 1 species
GCCAGAGGAAACUCUGGUGGAGGCUCGCAGCGGUUCUGACGUGCAAAUCGAUCGUCAAAUUUGGGUAUAGGGGCGAAAGACUAAUCGAACCAUCUAGUAGCUGGUUCCCUCCGAAGUUUCCCUCAGGAUAGCUGGAGUUGCACAGUUUUAUCAGGUAAAGCGAAUGAUUAGAGGAAUUGGGGACAGGUUUGUCCUUGACCUAUUCUCAAACUUUAAAUGGGUAAGAGCCCAAUGUUGCUUAAUCGAACAUUGGCGUUGAAUGACGGUUGUUAGUGGGCCAUUCUGGGUAAGCUGGCCUGGCGAUGCGGGAUGAACCGAACGUUGAGUUAAAUUGCCUCACUGCCCGCUCACCUAGAUCCCACAAACGGUGUUGGGUCAUUUUGACAGCAGGACGGUGGCCAUGGA